AAAAAACAAAAAAAUUAAAAAAAUCCUGCCCGGAACAUACCUUAAUACAAGUCGGCGAGCUGACGAGCACAUUGCGAGCCGCAAUAUCACGGUGAACAAAUUUCUUCGACUCCAAAUAGCUAAGCGCCGUUGACAAUAGAAAAUGGUUCGUUACUAUCCGGAAAAUGAUUGUUUUUUCUACGUGGAAAAACUUGUUCCUGGAGCGGAACCGCCGAACGAAAUAAAAACGAGACGACCAACACCGCCGAGUGUUGAAAUUUGCACCUGGGGUUAUGGAGAGCUUUUCGAAACCCAAACUGGUAUAAAAGGGGACGUGUUUCUUCCCUGUCGGACGAAAGCAACGAAACUACCAACGGCUGGUCAGAAAAGGCUUUUCAGAAUUCAUCAGACCGGCCCGGCAGGCAUGUUGUAUGAGGGGAUGCCUCAGUCAAAAAUUCAUCCUCCUGAUGUACCCAAAAAAGCAGUUAGCGUAAAGAAAAAAUCCGGAAAAAAGGGCAAGAAAAAUCGCAGUAAAUAGGUAAAAAAUAAAAGAACUUACUUGGAACCGUUCUUUUUGAGGUAAGCUCGUAGUUCACCUAACCGAGCCAAUUCCAUUACGAUCCAAAUCGGAGGACCGCUGCAGAUGCCGAUCAGUUUGAUGAUGUGCGGAUGCUCAAACUUUUGCAUGAUGUCUAUACAUGAAACGAAAUGAGAAAAAUAAUUGCAAAAUUUAAAAAUUCGUCAGUGAAGUUGAUCGCAACAUAAAUAAAGCUACUUGACUUA